rnacentral:tRNA from 1 species
GGGCAGGUGGUGAAAUUGGCAGACACGUACGGUUCAGAGCCGUAUGCCGCAAGGCUUGAGGGUUCAAAUCCCUCCCUGCCCA